AAAUUGAAGAGUUUGAUCAUGGCUCAGAUUGAACGCUGGCGGCAGGCCUAACACAUGCAAGUCGAGCGGUAGCACAGAGAGCUUGCUCUCGGGUGACGAGCGGCGGACGGGUGAGUAAUGUCUGGGAAACUGCCUGAUGGAGGGGGAUAACUACUGGAAACGGUAGCUAAUACCGCAUAACGUCGCAAGACCAAAGUGGGGGACCUUCGGGCCUCAUGCCAUCAGAUGUGCCCAGAUGGGAUUAGCUAGUAGGUGGGGUAACGGCUCACCUAGGCGACGAUCCCUAGCUGGUCUGAGAGGAUGACCAGCCACACUGGAACUGAGACACGGUCCAGACUCCUACGGGAGGCAGCAGUGGGGAAUAUUGCACAAUGGGCGCAAGCCUGAUGCAGCCAUGCCGCGUGUGUGAAGAAGGCCUUCGGGUUGUAAAGCACUUUCAGCGGGGAGGAAGGCGUUAAGGUUAAUAACCUUGGCGAUUGACGUUACCCGCAGAAGAAGCACCGGCUAACUCCGUGCCAGCAGCCGCGGUAAUACGGAGGGUGCAAGCGUUAAUCGGAAUUACUGGGCGUAAAGCGCACGCAGGCGGUCUGUCAAGUCGGAUGUGAAAUCCCCGGGCUCAACCUGGGAACUGCAUUCGAAACUGGCAGGCUAGAGUCUUGUAGAGGGGGGGUAGAAUUCCAGGUGUAGCGGUGAAAUGCGUAGAGAUCUGGAGGAAUACCGGUGGCGAAGGCGGCCCCCUGGACAAAGACUGACGCUCAGGUGCGAAAGCGUGGGGAGCAAACAGGAUUAGAUACCCUGGUAGUCCACGCCGUAAACGAUGUCGAUUUGGAGGUUGUGCCCUUGAGGCGUGGCUUCCGGAGCUAACGCGUUAAAUCGACCGCCUGGGGAGUACGGCCGCAAGGUUAAAACUCAAAUGAAUUGACGGGGGCCCGCACAAGCGGUGGAGCAUGUGGUUUAAUUCGAUGCAACGCGAAGAACCUUACCUGGUCUUGACAUCCACAGAACUUUCCAGAGAUGGAUUGGUGCCUUCGGGAACUGUGAGACAGGUGCUGCAUGGCUGUCGUCAGCUCGUGUUGUGAAAUGUUGGGUUAAGUCCCGCAACGAGCGCAACCCUUAUCCUUUGUUGCCAGCGGUUCGGCCGGGAACUCAAAGGAGACUGCCAGUGAUAAACUGGAGGAAGGUGGGGAUGACGUCAAGUCAUCAUGGCCCUUACGACCAGGGCUACACACGUGCUACAAUGGCAUAUACAAAGAGAAGCGACCUCGCGAGAGCAAGCGGACCUCAUAAAGUAUGUCGUAGUCCGGAUUGGAGUCUGCAACUCGACUCCAUGAAGUCGGAAUCGCUAGUAAUCGUAGAUCAGAAUGCUACGGUGAAUACGUUCCCGGGCCUUGUACACACCGCCCGUCACACCAUGGGAGUGGGUUGCAAAAGAAGUAGGUAGCUUAACCUUCGGGAGGGCGCUUACCACUUUGUGAUUCAUGACUGGGGUGAAGUCGUAACAAGGUAACCGUAGGGGAACCUGCGGUUGGAUCACCUCCUUACCUUAAAGAA
rnacentral:rRNA from 1 species